rnacentral:lncRNA from 1 species
AUUUCUCCAGCAAAUUUGAGGAAGCAUGAUAUAUUUGAAUUAACACCAAGGGUGAUAUUUCUUUUGUUCUUAGCAGACUUGGCUUCAUUUUGGUCUUGAGAUAAAAUGGCCAGCAUAAAUGCUGUUUAUAUUCACGUUUUCCUAGGUGUGUGUGUGCAGGCCACAGCAGCAUGCCCUUGGUGUAGUCAGUGCCGAAAGGGGUCUGUUCCUUCUUG